rnacentral:lncRNA from 1 species
CGCAAAAAGCCCACAAAAACGGGUGGGCUAUAGCCUUGGGGGGUGAGGCUGGCCAACUUCGUCCGCCGGACUCGGAAUGGCGCGAGAGUUUGCGAGGCGCCUCCGUGUGCCAAAAAUAGGCCGCGGGCACAGCCGCUCCCAAAAAUAACCGCCCGAAGGCCGGGGCGCCCAGGUCGUCCAGCGGAAAAACGCCACAAAAACAUGUGGGCUAUAGCCUUGGGGGGUGGCGCUGGCCAACUUCGUCCGCUGGGCUCGGAAUGGCGCGAGACUUUUUGAGGCGCCUCUGUGUGCCAAAAAUAAGCCGCGGGCACAGCCGCUCCCAAAAAUAACCGCCCGAAGGCCGGGGCGCCAAGUUCGACCAGCGGAAAAAGGCCACAAAAACGGGUGGGCUAUAGCCUUUGGGGGUGGGGCUGGCCAACUUCGUCCGCCGGACUCGGAAUGGCGCGAGACUUUGCGAGGCACCUCCGUGUGCCAAAAAUAGGCCGUGGGCACAGCUGCGCCCAAAAAUAACCCCCCGAGGGCCGGGGCGCCAAGUUCGUCCAGCGGAAAAAGGCCACAAAAACGGGUGGGCUAUAGCCUUGGGUGGUGGGGCUGGCCAACUUCUUCCGCCGGACUCGGAAUGGCGCGAGACUUUGCGAGGAGCCUCCUUGUGCCAAAAAUAGGCCGCGGACACAGCCGAGCCCAAAAAUAACCGCCCGAAGGCCGGGGUGCCAAGUUCGUCCGGCGGAAAAUGGCCACAAAAACGGGUGGGCUAUAGCCUUGGGGGGUGGGGCUGGCCCACUUCGUCCGCCUGACUCGGAAUGGCGCGAGACCUUGCGAGGUGCCUCCGUGUGCCAAAAAUAGGCAGUGGGCACAGACGUGCCCAAAAAUAACCGCCCGAAGGCCGGGACGCCAAGUUCGUCCAGCGGAAAAAGGCCACAAAAACGGGUGGGCUAUAGCCUUGGGGGGUGGGGCUGGCCAACUUCGUCCGCCGGACUCGGAAUGGCGCGAGACUUUGCGAGGUGCCUCCGUGUGCCAAAAAUAGGCCGCGGGCACAGCCGCGCCCAAAAAUAACCGCCCGAAGGCCGGGACGCCAAGUUCGUCCAGCGGAAAAAGGCCACAAAAACGGGUGGGCUAUAGCCGUGGGGGGUGGGGCUGGCCAACUUCGUCCGCCGGACUCGGAAUGGCGCGAGACUUUGCGAGGCACCUCCGUGUGCCAAAAAUAGGCUGCGGGAACAGCCGCGCCCAAAAAUAACCN